GAACGCGAAGAACCUUACCUGGGCUUGACAUACACCGGAUCGCUGCAGAGAUGUAGUUUCCCUUUGUGGCUGGUGUACAGGUGGUGCAUGGUUGUCGUCAGCUCGUGUCGUGAGAUGUUGGGUUAAGUCCCGCAACGAGCGCAACCCUUGUCUUAUGUUGCCAGCAUUUGGUUGGGGACUCAUGAGAGACUGCCGGGGUUAACUCGGAGGAAGGUGGGGAUGACGUCAAAUCAUCAUGCCCUUAUGUCAGGGCUUCACACAUGCUACAAUGGUCGGUACAGCGCGUGUGCGAUACUGUGAGGUGGAGCUAAUCGCUGAAAGCCGGUCGUAGUUCGGAUUGGGGUCUGCAACUCGACCCCAUGAAGUCGGAGUCGCUAGUAAUCGCAGAUCAGCAACGCUGCGGUGAAUACGUUCCCGGGUCUUGUACACACC
rnacentral:rRNA from 1 species